UCUAAGGAGCUGCCUUACACCUGGUUUUAUUUGUUUGAUUGUGGGUGUGCUGAUGCCUUUGUUGGUGUUGGUUUGGUGGUUUUUAGUGGAAAAUUUUUUUGUUGUGGGAAGUUGGCAUGCUGUUGGGGUGUGGGGUAAUACUCCGUGCUGCCUGUGGAUGAUUGAUGGCCUGUGUGGUUGUUGGUUGUUUGUGGUGUUGGUGUGGUGGUUGAGAAUUGUAUAGUGGACGCGAGCAUCUUUGGUUUUUUGUAAGUGUUCAAGAGCGUUCGGUGGAUGCCUUGGCAUACGGAGCCGAUGAAGGACGUUGUAGCCUGCGAUAAGCCUCGGGGAGUUGGCAAACGAGCUGUGAUCCGGGGGUGUCCGAAUGGGGGAACCUGGCCAGAGUUGUUUCUGGUUACCAGCAUCUGAAUGUAUAGGGUUUG
rnacentral:misc_RNA from 1 species